rnacentral:snRNA from 1 species
GUGCUCACUUCAGCAGCACAUAUACUAAAAUUGGAACGAUAGAAAGAAGAUUAGCAUGGCCCCAGCACAAGGAUGACAUGCUAAUUUGUGAAGCAUUCCAUAUUUUA